AGUUUAUUGAAUUUAUAAUAGAUAUUUUCUGCCCGGUGAUUAAAUUUUAACGGCCGCGGUAUUUUGACCGUGCAAAGGUAGCAUAAUCAUUUGUCUUUUAAUUGGGGACUGGAAUGAAUGGAAGUACGUGGAAAAUAUUGUCUCUUAUUUUUUAGUUGAAUUUUCUUUAUAGAUGAAGAAGUCUAUAUAAUUUAAAAAGACGAGAAGACCCUAUUGAGUUUUAUUUUGUUUUUAUAAUUUUUUAUUUUAAAUUUAAUUUAGUUGGGGUAACUUGGGAGGAUUUUUAUUCUCUUUUUUUUAUUUUGAUCCAGUAUUAUUGAUAAUAAGAAUUAAUUACCAUAGGGAUAACAGCGUAAUUUUUUUAGAGAGUUCUCAUCGACAAAAAAGAUUGCGACCUCGAUGUUGGACUAAAAUAUCCUAAGGGUGUAGAAGUUUUUAAGGGUAGGUCUGUUCGACCUUUAAUAUUUU
rnacentral:rRNA from 1 species